AUUGAACGCUGGCGGCAGGCUUAACACAUGCAAGUCGAGCGAGCGGCGGACGGGUGAGUAAUGUCUGGGAAUCUGCCCGAUGGAGGGGGAUAACUACUGGAAACGGUAGCUAAUACCGCAUACCAUCGGAUGUGCCCAGAUGGGAUUAGCUAGUAGGUGGGGUAAAGGCUCACCUAGGAGACGAUCCCUAGCUGGUCUGAGAGGAUGACCAGCCACACUGGAACUGAGACACGGUCCAGACUCCUACGGGAGGCAGCAGUGGGGAAUAUUGCACAAUGGGCGCAAGCCUGAUGCAGCCAUGCCGCGUGUGUGAAGAAGGCCUUCGGGUUGUAAAGCACUUUCAGCGAGGAGGCGUUACCCGCAGAAGAAGCACCGGCUAACUCCGUGCCAGCAGCCGCGGUAAUUC
rnacentral:rRNA from 1 species